AUUGAACGCUGGCGGCAGGCUUAACACAUGCAAGUCGAGCGGGGGAAGGUAGCUUGCUACCGGACCUAGCGGCGGACGGGUGAGUAAUGCUUAGGAAUCUGCCUAUUAGUGGGGGACAACAUCUCGAAAGGGAUGCUAAUACCGCAUACGUCCUACGGGAGAAAGCAGGGGAUCUUCGGACCUUGCGCUAAUAGAUGAGCCUAAGUCGGAUUAGCUAGUUGGUGGGGUAAAGGCAUACCAAGGCGACGAUCUGUAGCGGGUCUGAGAGGAUGAGCCGCCACACUGGGACUUAGAAACGGCCCAGACUCCUACGGGAGGCAGCAAUGGGGAAUAUUGGAAAAUGGGGGGAACCCUGAUCCAGCCAUGCCGGGUGUGUGAAGAAGGCCUUAUGGUUGUAAAGCACUUUAAGCGAGGAGGAGGCUACUUUAGUUAAUACCUAGAGAUAGUGGACGUUACUCGCAGAAUAAGCACCGGCUAACUCUGUGCCAGCAGCCGCUGUAA
rnacentral:rRNA from 1 species